rnacentral:rRNA from 1 species
AUUGAACGCUGGCGGCAGGCCUAACACAUGCAAGUCGGGCGGUAGAGAGAAGCUUGCUUCCCUUGAGAGCGGCGGACGGGUGAGUAAUGCCUAGGAAUCUGCCUGGUAGUGGGGGAUAACGUUCGGAAACGGACGCUAAUACCGCAUACGUCCUACGGGAGAAAGCAGGGGACCUUCGGGCCUUGCGCUAUCAGAUGAGCCUAGGUCGGAUUAGCUAGUUGGUGAGGUAAUGGCUCACCAAGGCGACGAUCCGUAACUGGUCUGAGAGGAUGAUCAGUCACACUGGAACUGAGACACGGUCCAGACUCCUACGGGAGGCAGCAGUGGGGAAUAUUGGACAAUGGGCGAAAGCCUGAUCCAGCCAUGCCGCGUGUGUGAAGAAGGCCUUCGGGUUGUAAAGCACUUUUAUCAGGAGCGAAAUCUGCAGGGCUAAUACCCAUGCAGUCUGACGGUACCUGAGGAAUAAGCACCGGCUAACUCCGUGCCAGCAGCCGCGGUAAUACGGAGGGUGCAAGCGUUAAUCGGAAUUACUGGGCGUAAAGCGUGCGUAGGCGGUUCGUUAAGUCUGUUGUGAAAGCCCCGGGCUCAACCUGGGAAUGGCAAUGGAUACUGGCGAGCUAGAGUGUGUCAGAGGAUGGUGGAAUUCCCGGUGUAGCGGUGAAAUGCGUAGAGAUCGGGAGGAACAUCAGUGGCGAAGGCGGCCAUCUGGGACAACACUGACGCUGAGGCACGAAAGCGUGGGGAGCAAACAGG